GGGUUCUACCGUUGGUCGGGCAAUAGUCUGUACUGGCGUGUAGAAUUUCUACCUUCUGGGGAACCAUCAUGUUAUUUAUUUAGCGUGGUGGGAAACCAGGACCUUUACCUUGAAAAAAUUAGAGUGUUCAAAGCAGGCUUACGUCUGAAUACAUUAGCAUGGAAUAAUAAAAUAGGACGGUGGUCCUGUUUUGUUGGUUUCUGAAUCACCGUAAUGAUUAAUAGGGAUAGUUGGGGGCAUUAGUAUUCAAUUGUUAGAGGUGAAAUUCUUGGAUUUAUUGAAGACUAACUUCUGCGAAAGCAUUUGCCAAGGAUGUUUUCAUUAAUCAAGAACGAAAGUUAGGGGAUCGAAGACGAUCAGAUACCGUCGUAGUCUUAACCAUAAACUAUGCCGACUAGGGAUCGGACGAUGUUAAUUUUUCUUGACUCGUUCGGCGCCUUACGGGAAACCAAAGUGUUUGGGUUCCGGGGGGAGUAUGGUCGCAAGGCUGAAACUUAAAGGAAUUGACGGAAGGGCACCACCAGGGGUGGAGCCUGCGGCUUAAUUUGACUCAACACGGGAAAACUCACCAGGUCCAGACAUAGUAAGGAUUGACAGAUUGAGAGC
rnacentral:rRNA from 1 species